CUUUCUUCUCAUCUUUCUGUUACACUUUUAUUGACCUGAAUUUCCCAGGUUGAAGAAGAAAAACAAAACAAAACAAAACAGCCUCACUGAAGCCAUUUUGCUUUCCUGGUUUCUACUUUUGUUGCCAUUCAUAUAAAUGGAACACACAAGACAACGGCACAGAGGAUGAGGCAGGGACCAUGGUGGGGACUGCAGGCGUCAUUAGCUGUCACGGCUGCGAGGUGGCGUGGCAUCCACAGCGACUCUGCCUCCUCCAGGUGUCACGUUAGGAACAAACGAAUUGGUUCUUGUUCCAAACAUGUUGAAGCACAGGGGGACCUAACAUCCUUGCCGGAGACAAUCAAGGGUUGGGGGCUGGAUUCGCUGAGAAUCUUCCCUCUAAAUUAGUCUAGGCAGAGAAUGAUCCAAACAUUUUCUGGGUGCACGUUGCCUUGGUCUCUAGAAGGUUUACGGUGUUGUGAGUUCGGUGGAAGUUGUCUCAUUAGAUGGGAAAGCUGGGCCUUUGUGCCAUCCCAUUGCCGAAUUCACCUCCCAGGGUGUCUUGCUCAGUGGCGUCGCCCCGCCAGGGGCUGGGGAUGUUCAGGCAGGAUGCUCAGAGCCAGGCUCCCGCUCACUGGGCAGGGCCCAGGCACACACAUACCUCUGGGCCAUGCUCCAGUUGCAGGUUUAAAACCAAGCCCAGAGGGCUGGCAAGCUGCUUCUCUCCCAGGGAUGCUGGAAAGACGUUGCUAACAGGGUAAGGCUCCAGCUUCCUGAAGAAGUAAGCAGAGGCCAGGGUUGUUCAGUCGUCACCAAGGACUGGGACCUGAGCUUCAAGAACUGCAGGGCCACAGGGUUGAGGGGGUGACAGAGCCUGGUGAGGCCAAGACACUGGGCUCCUAUGAUUCCUGGACAUUGAGUAGCGUCAUUCUGGAAGACCCUUGGCCAGGAUCAGCAGCCCCAAACCUCUCUUCCAGGGCACUGCCCCACCAGAGCCAAGUGGAGGCUCUCAGAAGGUUGGUGGACUUAAGGGGGGCUUUUACUGAGGUCAAGGGGAUCCCUGAACGAUAGAGACUGGGGGCUCCUCACAACCACAGCUCCCAACUAAGGAAACCGCAGUGCGGGCUCUGCCUCAGGGCUGUACAGGAAAGAGGAGCAGAAUGAUUUUCCCACAGAGCAAGAGCCUCUUUCCGGCACGUCCUGGUGGGAACAGGCCCCAGGCCUGGACAGAGCAGGCAGACGCAUCCGCCUCCCAUCCCGGCAGCUGCUCUCAGAGCCCCCCUGCCCGUCCACCUGGGAGGCCCCCGUCCAGCCACACCGGCCCUGGGCCCCGCGCCCCUCCUGGCCCAGGGAGGAGUGGGCUUUCGUCAGCGAGUCCCAUUCCACACUUCACCCCUCACUGAAAGCUCAUCCACUCUGCAAAGGACUGCUGGCCUCGGGUCACCCUGCAACCCUCACAUCGUCCUUUGACCUUGCCUACAUGACCUCGGGUCACCCUGCAAC
rnacentral:lncRNA from 1 species